GAGUAACGCGUGGGAACAUACCCUUUCCUGCGGAAUAGCUCCGGGAAACUGGAAUUAAUACCGCAUACGCCCUACGGGGGAAAGAUUUAUCGGGGAAGGAUUGGCCCGCGUUGGAUUAGCUAGUUGGUGGGGUAAAGGCCUACCAAGGCGACGAUCCAUAGCUGGUCUGAGAGGAUGAUCAGCCACAUUGGGACUGAGACACGGCCCAAACUCCUACGGGAGGCAGCAGUGGGGAAUAUUGGACAAUGGGCGCAAGCCUGAUCCAGCCAUGCCGCGUGAGUGAUGAAGGCCUUAGGGUUGUAAAGCUCUUUCACCGAUGAAGAUAAUGACGGUAGUCGGAGAAGAAGCCCCGGCUAACUUCGUGCCAGCAGCCGCGGUAAUACGAAGGGGGCUAGCGUUGUUCGGAAUUACUGGGCGUAAAGCGCACGUAGGCGGAUAUUUAAGUCAGGGGUGAAAUCCCGCAGCUCAACUGCGGAACUGCCUUUGAUACUGGGUAUCUUGAGUAUGGAAGAGGUAAGUGGAAUUCCGAGUGUAGAGGUGAAAUUCGUAGAUAUUCGGAGGAACACCAGUGGCGAAGGCGGCUUACUGGUCCA
rnacentral:rRNA from 1 species